rnacentral:rRNA from 1 species
AUACGGAGGAUGCAAGCGUUAUCCGGAUUUAUUGGGUUUAAAGGGUGCGUAGGCGGAUGAUUAAGCGUGAGGUGAAAUGCCACUGCUCAACAGUGGAACUGCCUCGCGAACUGGUUGUCUUGAAUGCUCCUGCCGUGGGAGGAAUGUGUGGUGUAGCGGUGAAAUGCAUAGAGAUCACACAGAACACCGAUUGCGAAGGCAUCUCACGAAGGGGUGAUUGACGCUGAGGCACGAAAGCGUGGGGAUCAAACAGGAUUAGAUACCCUGGUAGUCCACGCAGUAAACGAUGAUAACUAACCGCUGGGUCGUAGUGAUUCAGUGGCCAAGCGAAAGCGAUAAGUUAUCCACCUGGGGAGUACGACCGCAAGGUUGAAACUCAAAUGAAUUGGCGG